UGGGGUAUUUUAUAAUGAAACUGAAGAUUUUGCCAUGUUAGGAGUUGUGGUGACCAUGAUGGUUAUUGAUUUAUAUCAUAGUCUUAAUGAGUGAUGUGCUUUAUAUUCUUUAAAAAACCUGUGAAAUGACAAUAUUUUUCUUAUUUUUAGAGUUAAAUGCUCAAGGUGCAAGAUGUGGUCACAGUCCUGCUCAAACAAGUUGUGUCCAUUCCUGAAGAAUCCAUUUAAUACAUUUAUUACAUUUAAUAUGUGUUCGAAUUCCUGGAGAAACUCAAAACUCCAUCAAUAUUUCACUAAUCUUUUCAAUAGAUUUGUUGAUGAAGAGAGUCAAUAUGAUGGAAUCGUUUCACUGUUGGAUGAGGACUGUGGAAGGCUAAGGUUCACAUGUUUGUUACACUAUGGAAACCUUUUAGCAUCAGAGGAAGUCAAGGGUAAAUCCCACCUGAACUAACCUUGCUGAAAAAAGCUGGGGUAGCUUUGCCUUUAGGUCACAAUUUGAAGGCUUACAACAACAAAUUGUUAAUAAAGCCAAGGUGUAUGGCUUGUUUAAAGUCAUUCAAGAGGACUAAACUGGAGACAAGAUUUGAAUCCUUUGUAUGUGGCAACAUGACCUGGAAUCACCUUGAAUUUGAUCCUGACUCUCUCCAUGACAUUCUUAUACUUCUGGUUUAAAAAAAAAUUAAAUCACGACCCCUGUAUCUCUGGGGGAUAGGUUCCAAGACACCUCAUAGAUUCCUGAAACUGUGGAUGAUAGUGAACCCAAUGAUUUGAUUAUACACGCAUUGGAAGCAUACCAUAGAAUCACACUGGAGGACCUACAAAAACCCACAAACACUUGCUGGAGAAAAUAUUUUUGGAGCGUAGGAAACUCAAAGUAUCGGUGAAACAAACCCUGUGGAGAAAUAUAUCUUCAGAACUUUUGGAUGAAAUCACAAGUAUUAAGGCUAA